rnacentral:rRNA from 1 species
UGAGCAAUCUGCCCUUCUCAUCGGAAUAAGCGUUGGAAACGACGUCUAAUGCCGAAUACGACCUCCUUUCGCAUGAUCGGAGGUGGAAAGCUCCGGCGGAGAAGGAUGAGCUCGCGGCCUAUCAGCUAGUUGGUGUGGGUAAUGGCCCACCAAGGCGACGACGGGUAGCCGGCCUGAGGAGGGUGACCGGCCACACGUGGGACUGAGACACGGCCCAGACCUCCGUACGGGAGCAG